rnacentral:rRNA from 1 species
GAUGAACGCUGGCGGUGUGCCUAAUACAUGCGAGUCGAGCGAACAGACGAGGAGCUUACUCCUCUGACGUUAGCGGCGGACGGGUGAGUAACACGUGGAUAACCUACCUAUAAGACUGGGAUAACUUCGGGAAACCGGAGCUAAUACCGGAUAACAUGUUGAACCGCAUGGUUCAACAGUGAAAGACGGUCUUGCUGUCACUUAUAGAUGGAUCCGCGUCGCAUUAGCUAGUUGGUAAGGUAACGGCUUACCAAGGCAACGAUGCGUAGCCGACCUGAGAGGGUGAUCGGCCACACUGGAACUGAGACACGGUCCAGACUCCUACGGGAGGCAGCAGUAGGGAAUCUUCCGCAAUGGGCGAAAGCCUGACGGAGCAACGCCGCGUGAGUGAAGAAGGUCUUCGGAUCGUAAAACUCUGUUAUUAGGGAAGAACAAAUGUGUAAGUAACUAUGCACGUCUUGACGGUACCUAAUCAGAAAGCCACGGCCAACUACGUG